rnacentral:rRNA from 1 species
AUGGCCGCCUCCUCCAGCGCCGCACCAGCCAACAUCUCUGGUCAGGUCACCGAGAAGCUGACACGCACCAACUACAUCCUCUGGCGGACUCAAGUCACGCCGCAGCUCCAUGGUGCUAGCUUCUACGGGUAUGUCGACGGCUCCAUGCCGGAGCCGGCCCGACUCGUCGUCACCAAGGACAAAGAAGGGAAGGAGGAGACUUCCCUGAACCCCCUUCAUCCGAUCUGGAUGCGCGAAGAGCAGAAGGUACUUGGCUACCUUCUGAAUAAUCUCUCCAAGGAGGUACUUGUGCAGGUCAACACGAUCGAUCAUGCGCAAGAUCUCUGGACAACACUGGCGAACAUGUUCUCGUCC